ACCUACGGGGGGCAGCAGUGGGGAAUAUUGGGCAAUGGGCGCAAGCCUGACCCAGCAACGCCGCGUGAAGGAAGAAGGCUUUCGGGUUGUAAACUUCUUUUGUCAGGGACGAAGCAAGUGACGGUACCUGACGAAUAAGCCACGGCUAACUACGUGCCAGCAGCCGCGGUAAUACGUAGGUGGCAAGCGUUAUCCGGAUUUAUUGGGUGUAAAGGGCGUGUAGGCGGGAAUGCAAGUCAGAUGUGAAAACUAUGGGCUCAACCCUUGGACUGCUUUGGAAACUGUGCUGCUCGAGUGUCGGAGAG
rnacentral:rRNA from 1 species